AAUGGGCGAAAGCCUGACCCAGCGAUGCCGCGUGUGUGAAGAAGGCCCUAGGGUUGUAAAGCACUUUCAGUCGUGAAGAAAAGCAUUGGGUUAAUACCCCGACGUGUUGACGUUAACGACAGAAGAAGUACCGGCUAACUCCGUGCCAGCAGCCGCGGCAAUACGGAGGGUACGAACGUUAAUCGGAAUUACUGGGCGUAAAGCGCGCGUAGGCGGUUUGAUAAGUGGGAUGUGAAAGCCCCGGGCUCAACCUGGGAACUGCAUUCCAAACUGUCAGACUAGAGUGUGGUAGAGGGAGGUAGAAUUUCCUGUGUAGCGGUGAAAUGCGUAGAUAUAGGAAGGAAUACCGAUGGCGAAGGCAGCCUCCUGGACCAACACUGACGCUGAGGUGCGAAAGCGUGGGGAGCAAACAGGAUU
rnacentral:rRNA from 1 species